AGAAAAGUCAUGACACAUUUUGUAUAGAAAAGCUAUGUCAUGACUUUUCUGA
rnacentral:pre_miRNA from 1 species